rnacentral:rRNA from 1 species
AGAGUUUGAUCCUGGCUCAGGACGAACGCUGGCGGCGUGCCUAAUACAUGCAAGUCGAACGCACUCUCGUUUAGAUUGAAGGAGUUUGCUCCUGAUUGAUAAACAUUUGAGUGAGUGGCGGACGGGUGAGUAACACGUGGGUAACCUGCCCUAAAGUGGGGGAUAACAUUUGGAAACAGAUGCUAAUACCGCAUAAAACCUAACACCGCAUGGUGUAGGGUUGAAAGAUGGUUUCGGCUAUCACUUUAGGAUGGACCCGCGGUGCAUUAGUUAGUUGGUGAGGUAAAGGCUCACCAAGACCGUGAUGCAUAGCCGACCUGAGAGGGUAAUCGGCCACACUGGGACUGAGACACGGUCCAGACUCCUACGGGAGGCAGCAGUAGGGAAUCUUCCACAAUGGACGAAAGUCUGAUGGAGCAACGCCGCGUGAGUGAAGAAGGUUUUCGGAUCGUAAAACUCUGUUGUUGGAGAAGAAUGUAUCUGAUAGUAACUGAUCAGGUAGUGACGGUAUCCAACCAGAAAGCCACGGCUAACUACGUGCCAGCAGCCGCGGUAAUACGUAGGUGGCAAGCGUUGUCCGGAUUUAUUGGGCGUAAAGCGAGCGCAGGCGGUUUCUUAAGUCUGAUGUGAAAGCCUUCGGCUCAACCGAAGAAGUGCAUCGGAAACUGGGAAACUUGAGUGCAGAAGAGGACAGUGGAACUCCAUGUGUAGCGGUG